ACAGCUGGAAACGGCUGCUAAUACCGAAUACGUUCUUUCUGUCGCAUGGCAGAGGGAAGAAAGGGAGGCUCUUCGGAGCUUUCGCUGGAGGAGGGGCUUGCGUCUGAUUAGCUAGUUGGAGGGGUAACGGCCCACCAAGGCGACGAUCAGUAGCCGGUCUGAGAGGAUGAACGGCCACAUUGGGACUGAGACACGGCCCAGACUCCUACGGGAGGCAGCAGUGGGGAAUCUUCCGCAAUGGACGAAAGUCUGACGGAGCAACGCCGCGUGAACGAUGACGGCCUUCGGGUUGUAAAGUUCUGUUAUACGGGACGAAUGGUACGACGGUCAAUACCCGUCGUAAGUGACGGUACUGUAAGAGAAAGCCACGGCUAACUACGUGCCAGCAGCCGCGGUAAUACGUAGGUGGCAAGCGUUGUCCGGAAUUAUUGGGCGUAAAGGGCGCGCAGGCGGCGUCGUAAGUCGGUCUUAAAAGUGCGGGGCUUAACCCCGUGAGGGGACCGAAACUGCGAUGCUAGAGUAUCGGAGAGGAAAGCGGAAUUCCUAGUGUAGCGGUGAAAUGCGUAGAUAUUAGGAGGAACACCAGUGGCGAAAGCGGCUUUCUGGACGACAACUGACGCUGAGGCGCGAAAGCCAGGGGAGCAAACGGGAUUAGAUACCCCGGUAGUCCUGG
rnacentral:rRNA from 1 species